UACGAAGGGGGCUAGCGUUGUUCGGAAUAACUGGGCGUAAAGCGCACGUAGGCGGACUUUUAAGUCAGGGGUGAAAUCCCGGGGCUCAACCCCGGAACGGCCUUUGAUACUGGCAGUCUGGAGUCCGGAAGAGGUGAGUGGAAUUGCGAGUGUAGAGGUGAAAUUCGUAGAUAUUCGCAGGAACACCAGUGGCGAAGGCGGCUCACUGGUCCGGUACUGACGCUGAGGUGCGAAAGCGUGGGGAGCAAACAGG
rnacentral:rRNA from 1 species